rnacentral:miRNA from 1 species
UUCCGGUCUGGCUUACGACAU